rnacentral:rRNA from 1 species
UACAGAGGUCCCAAGCGUUGUUCGGAUUCACUGGGCGUAAAGGGUGCGUAGGUGGUGGGGUAAGUUUGAUGUGAAAGCUCCGGGCUUAACCCGGAAAUGGCAUUGAAUACUAUCUCGCUUGAGGGUUGGAGGGGAGACUGGAAUUCUUGGUGUAGCAGUGAAAUGCGUAGAUAUCAAGAGGAACACCAGUGGCGAAGGCGAGUCUCUGGACAACUCCUGACACUGAGGCACGAAAGCUAGGGGAGCAAACAGG